UGGGUAGAGGCCUGUUGGAUUGGGUGAUUAGCUGUUAAUUAAUAGAUUGCGGGAUCGAGGCCCGCCUAUCCAG
rnacentral:tRNA from 1 species